GACGAGCCACACGAACGUUAUUCGGAAUUACUGGGCUUAAAGGGUGCGUAGGCGGCGCGGAAAGUUGGGUGUGAAAUCCCUCGGCUCAACCGAGGAACUGCGCCCAAAACUACUGUGCUCGAGGGAGGUAGAGGUGAGCGGAACUUAGGGUGGAGCGGUGAAAUGCGUUGAUAUCCUAAGGAACACCGGUGGCGAAAGCGGCUCACUGGACCUCUUCUGACGCUGAGGCACGAAAGCUAGGGUAGCAAACGGG
rnacentral:rRNA from 1 species